UCCUCAGCUCCAUAUUUUCAAGUGUUUCUUUGGGUCAUGAGUUAAUUCAGUGGGCUUGGAGUUAACCUAAAUCCCACAGAGCAGACCUCAGGAGAAUACUGAGCUGCCACACUGAUGGAUGAUUGGAGUUGCCUCCAGCUGUUUGGGCAGAACCUCUCACACAGCUGGCUGAGGUUACAGAUGGAGACUAAAAUUCCAAAAAGGAUAUCUGUUCCAAUCAUAUUUCCAUCAUUGCUUCCUAUGAACUAAAAAA